rnacentral:misc_RNA from 1 species
GAUGAAGAACGUAGCGAAAUGCGAUAAGUAGUGUGAAUUGCAGAAUUCAGUGAAUCAUCGAAUCUUUGAACGCACAUUGCGCCCUCUGGUAUUCCGGAGGGCAUGCCUGUUCGAGCGUCAUUAAAACUACUCAAGCUAAGGUUUUACCUUCUGCUUGGUCUUGGGUUUGAGGAUUCAAAAUCCUCUCUUCGAAAUCCAGUGGCGAAUUGUUUGAGCUGUAGACGUAGUAAAUCAUUCUACCCGUUGCAAGCGAGAAUAAUAUUCAGCCAUAACCCCCAUACUUUUCUAGUUUGACCUCGGAUCAGGUAGGGAUACCCGCUGAACUUAAGCAUAUCAAUAAGCGGAGGA